rnacentral:rRNA from 1 species
UACGUAGGGAGCAAGCGUUGUCCGGAAUCAUUGGGCGUAAAGCGCGCGUAGGUGGCCUCGUAAGUCCGCUGUGAAAGUCAAAGGCUCAACCUUUGAAAGCCGGUGGAUACUGUGAGGCUAGAGUACGGAAGAGGCGAGUGGAAUUCCUGGUGUAGCGGUGGAAUGCGCAGAUAUCAGGAGGAGCACCGGUGGCGAAGGCGGAUCUCUGUGCCUUGCCUGACGCUGAGGCGCGAAAGCUAGGGGAGCGAACAGG